UUACUACUCCCUCCGUCCGGAAAUACUUGUCAUCAAAAUGGAUAAAAGGGGAUGUAUCUAGACGUAUUUUAGUUCUAGAUACAUCUCUUUUUAUCCAUUUUGAUGACAAGUAUUUUCGAACGGAGGGAGUAUGUG
rnacentral:pre_miRNA from 1 species